CAGGCGGGUAACCGUAUCUGAAACCGACACAGGUGGGAGGGAAGAAAAUUCCAAGGCGCGCGAGAGAAACCUCGUUAAGGAACUCGGCAAUCUAGCCCCGUAACUUCGGAAGAAGGGGUCCUCCCUGGAGUCAUCGUAACAGAGAAGCUCCGAGGAGGCGCAGUGAACGGGCUCAGGCGACUGUUUAUCAAAAACACAGCACUCUGCUAACUCGUAAGAGGAUGUAUAGGGUGUGACACGUGACCAAUGCUGUAAGGUUAAGGUGAGAGGUUAUCCCCGCAAGGGGAGAAGCUUUGAACUGAAGCCCCAGUGAAUGUCGGCCGUAACUAUAACGGUCCUAAGGUAGCGAAAUUCCUUGUCGGGUAAGUUCCGACCUGCACGAAUCGUGUAACGAUCUGAGCGCUGUCUCAACGAGGAUCUCGGUGAAAUUGUAGUUCCGGUGAAAAUGCCGGAUACCCGCAGUAGGACGGAAAGACCCUGUGAACCUUUACUGUAAUCUGAUAUUGGGUUCUAGUUGAUUAUGUGUAGCAUAGCUGGGAGGCUGCGAAGCCCGAUCGUUAGGUCGGGUGGAGCCAACAGUGAAAUACCAGUCUUGAUUAACCGGAAUUCUAACCUUUGCCCGUGCAACCGGGUGAGGAACAGUGUCAGAGGGUCAGUUUGACUGGGGCGGUUUCCUCCAAAAUGGUAACGGAGGAGUUCGAAGGUUCCCUCAGCACGGUCGGCAAUCGUGCGCAGAGCGCAUAGGUAGAAGGGAGCUUAACUGCGAGACCUACAAGUCGAGCAGGUGCGAAAGCAGGACUAAGUGAUCCGGUGGUAGGAAGUGGUACCGCCAUCGCUCAACGGACAAAAGGUACUCCGGGGAUAACAGGCUGAUCGCUGCCAAGAGUCCAUAUCGACGCAGCGGUUUGGCACCUCGAUGUCGACUCAUCACAUCCUGGGGCUGGAGAAGGUCCCAAGGGUUCGGCUGUUCGCCGAUUAAAGUGGUACGCGAGUUGGGUUCAGAACGUCGUGAGACAGUUCGGUCCUUAUCCACUGUGGGCGUAGGAAAUUUGAGGAGAACAUUCCUUAGUACGAGAGGACCGGGAAUGACGCACCUCUGGUGUUCCAGUUGUCCUGCCAAGGGCAGUGCUGGGUAGCUAUGUGCGGAAUGGAUAAGCGCUGAAGGCAUCUAAGCGCUAAGCCGUCUCCAAGAUGAGAUUUCCCUACCCGUAAGGGUACUCAAGGCACCUUGAAGACUACGAGGUUGAUAGGCUGGGUGUGUAAGGCUCGCGAGGGCUUCAGCUAACCAGUACUAAUCUGCCGUGAGGCUUGACCUU
rnacentral:rRNA from 1 species